GAUGAAGAACGCAGCGAAAUGCGAUACGUAAUGUGAAUUGCAGAAUUCAGUGAAUCAUCGAGUCUUUGAACGCACAUUGCGCCCCCUGGUAUUCCGGGGGGCAUGCCUGUCCGAGCGUCAUUGCUGCCCUCAAGCACGGCUUGUGUGUUGGGCCUCCGUCCUCCUCCCGGGGGACGGGCCCGAAAGGCAGCGGCGGCACCGCGUCCGGUCCUCGAGCGUAUGGGGCUUCGUCACCCGCUCCGUAGGCCCGGCCGGCGCUUGCCGACGACCAUCAAUCUCUUUCUCCAGGUUGACCUCGGAUCAGGUAGGGAUACCCGCUGAACUUAAGCAUAUCAAUAAGCGGAGGA
rnacentral:misc_RNA from 1 species